UACGUAGGGGGCGAGCGUUAUCCGGAUUUACUGGGCGUAAAGCGCGUUAAGGCGGUUGGCAAAGUUGGUUGUGAAAUCUCAGGGCUCAACCCUGAAAUUGCGACCAAUACUGGUCGACUAGAGUGCAAGAGAGGAAGGUGGAAUUCCCGGUGUAGUAGUGAAAUGCGUAGAUAUUGGGAAGAACACCAGUGGCGAAGGCGGCUAUCUGGACCGGUACUGACGCUGAGGCGCGAAAGCGUGGGGAGCAAACAGG
rnacentral:rRNA from 1 species